GUAAGCGAAACAGACCUCCAUAUUGCUACCAUGGUGCCACCUUGGCACAGGCAUAAUCGGGCAUCACAAACACAAGACGGGGCAGAAAAAAGGAAAACGUGAAAAACAUCAAAGUACAGCAGAACAGAGAAGUAAGAUGGCAGCACAUAGGAGGAUGACUCAGAUGUAGAGCGAUGAAGAAGACAGAAGGAUGUUAAAGAGGAAAAUGGAUGGUGCUGUACAACUACCCAUGGCGCAGCGUGCCAGCCAGCGGGCACCAUGCCAGUUUGUACUCAAGGCAUACCCGAAGCAAUCAAACCAGGUGCCGGAGGACUGUUGUAGUCAAAGACAAGAGGACUCACCUCUGAGGAUUUGCUUCUAAUCACCAUUUGCUCGGACAAAGCCAAGAAGACAUGCCCAGGCAACGGUUGCCAACGGGUUGCGAUGGCAUCUUUUUGCGGGCAACAAGGGCACCGGGACAAAGAUGGCAUACUGCCAAGCCAACAUAAUGCACACAUUUGUAAACAGAAACAUCCAUACGGUGAGCAGAACAUUUCGGAAGCCUUGAAUUUUUAUGGCGAAGAUAUCCCCUCAAGGGAGAAUCUAAAAACAGAGAUGGCAUCAUGCCAAAUGCAAGCUGCGGGGUAUUUGCAGGUGCCAUCUAAAGCGGUUCAAAAAUGCAGUAAAUAGCAGCACAAAACAGAAGUAAAAGGUUAAAAUUACACCCACAAAUGCAGCUGUUGUGGGUGUAUGAGACAAAAGCCAUUUCCUUGAUGCCAACUCUGUUCUGUGCCAACUGCUGUGGUGAACGAAAGCUGUUGCCCAUUACAAAGAAGAAGGAAGAGGGAUUGUACCAUUUUACCACGGAGAGGAAGAGAAUUGAGAGGAAGCAAGAUAACAAGCUAAAUGACUAAAGGAUACAUAAGAAGAAAAUGAGGAAUUUUGUGCUUAACGAAGAACAGAGGGAGUGGGAGGACAGUAAUGAUGAAGAGCUUCUUUCCUGGACUUGCACACCUGGGAUGUUCUUAAAGGGAUAUCCCUUCAGACGUCUAUGUGUGUUAAAGGGAGGGAUGUGUUGGCAUCAUCUCCAGGGUGUCAAGCUGUGUUUCUCCAUUGCCAGUCAGGAAGGGUGUUGCAGUCGUCAGGGGCGGGCAACUGUCUGGGCAUCUCAUCUGCAGCUAAUUAACAGCCACACACAAAUUCUAACAGCCGAUCAUAAUUAGCGAUUUAAUCGCUCGUCAACGCUUUUCUCCCCCCCUAAAUUGUGCCUUCUAUUUGGACACGUGCGGAUAAGCUGAGGAACGUGGAUUCCCCCCUCCCCGCUUCCUCGUCCUUCUUUCCUUCAUCCUUGGCUCCAGACUCCAGUGGGAUCUUAAUUAAGCCUGGGCUUCAUUAUGCAAAUGGAGUACAAUAAACGACAGCGGAGGUGGAGCUGGAUACAGACUAAAACGGAGCGGUGGGAGGGGAGCAGUGGAAGUGGAAAAUGAGAUGUGGAAGGCAACCAAAAUCUUCUGAAUGAUGUUACUGCAUCACAGUAAUUAUAUGUUGUUCUAACAGGAAUGUCUUCAGCGUGCUGAUAAAACAUGUUGUGUAAGAACCAACAUCUCGGACUCUGAUGCUCCCCAUCUGCUGCCACUGGGAAAACUUCUCUAAAAUAAUACUGGAUAUUCAGAAUGUCAUCCCUCACAAAGAAAAUUCAUAAGGGAAUGGUGACAAUGAACCCCUUAAUAUCACCAGUUGGCUGUUGUCGUGGAUACGGAGAAAGAUAGUGGAGAUAGGGGAAAAGAAAAGAGGCAUACAGAAGCACUGACAGUGGCAGCAGCAUGGCAGCUAAUGUCAUCUCAGUUUAAUCAUUGCAUGGGAUCAUGGGGUUCAUGGAAAUUCAUUUGCAUAUCAUUAAAUAGAGAGAGGUUAUUUGGUGUGGGUCGGCGAAAUGGGAUUGGAUGAAGGGAGGAAAAAAAAGUAAAAUGGAGGGGCUCGUUAUUAAACAGCAAUGUUUUAUAGUCUGCCAGCCGAUUCAUUUAAUUUGGGCGUAAUUAAAAUAUGUCAGACUCAAUCAAUCAUGCCAACAGGGAUACUAUCAAUGUAUCAGUCUGAGAAAAGACUAAUCAGUGGAUAUGGAGUUGGACAUUUUCCAAUAACAGUCAAUAACAGACUGCUUUGGUCCCUCAUGAGUUUGACCAGUCUCCUUUUUUCUGAAAAAGUUGAAGCCAUUCAUCAAAACAUUCACUGUAACUUCUACAUACUGUGUCAAAACAUAUUUCUGACAAGUGGUGAUAUCGCCCUGUGAUUGUCAACAAGAUAGUGUGCCUCAUGCUGUCUUUUUGACCUCAGUUAGAAGCUCUCUGUAGUGUGUAUGUAUGCUCAUGCCUGUGUCUAUUGCUUAUUUGCAUAAGUGAUGUAAUUAGACUGCCUUUUCUCAUGCAGAUCAGUUUGACAACAUGGCAAUCAUUCAUACACGUAUACACACUCGUAUACAAACGGCAGCACACGCUUACUGCCGUGACCACCCCCAUAUCAUGGAGAGUCUGUUGUCUGUGAGCAGAGAGUGUAAAGAUUAACAUAAUCCAGCUAAUAAGUGUGAGUAAUAUUCACACUGUGACGCGUGGCAUAGACACUCUCCUGCUGAUGCGUAUUUGUAUCUCAUUAUAGAUGUAAAGUACUGUGGCCGCCAGUGGGCUGAAGGGAGGGAAGUGGGGGACAGUGUGACAAGGGAGGUUUGGUGGUGAGGGGGUCACAAAGUGUCGGCCUGAACAAUAAAUAUCACAAAGUUAUCCUAUACACCAUUUCAUGAAGAAAUCAGCAUUAUACCGACAGAUUACAUAAGACACCUUAUAACCAGGAUACUGGGGAUUAGUGAAGGAAGACUUUAUUAACGCCUCUGCAAAAUCAGAAAAACAAUGCUACCAGUAUUCUUAUUGUACAGCCCUGAAAGGGUACAGUGUCAGUUUUUGCAGC